AUGAACGCUGGCGGCAGGCCUAACACAUGCAAGUCGAACGGGCACUUUCGGGUGCUAGUGGCGGACGGGUGAGUAACGCGUGGGAACAUACCCUUUGGUACGGAAUAGCCUCGGGAAACUGAGAGUAAUACCGUAUGUGCUCGCAAGAGGAAAGAUUUAUCGCCAAAGGAUUGGCCCGCGUUGGAUUAGGUAGUUGGUGGGGUAAUGGCCUACCAAGCCGACGAUCCAUAGCUGGUUUGAGAGGAUGAUCAGCCACACUGGGACUGAGACACGGCCCAGACUCCUACGGGAGGCAGCAGUGGGGAAUCUUAGACAAUGGGGGAAACCCUGAUCUAGCCAUGCCGCGUGAUCGAUGAAGGCCUUAGGGUUGUAAAGAUCUUUCAGAUGGGAAGAUAAUGACGGUACCAUCAGAAGAAGCCCCGGCUAACUCCGU
rnacentral:rRNA from 1 species